GUUCUGCCAAGAGCACCGCUGGGUAGCUACGUAUGGAUUAGAUAAUCGCUGAAAGCAUCUAAGUGAGAAACUAACCUCGAGAUGAGAUUUCCCAUUCGUCAGAAGUAAGACCCCUGAGAGACGAUCAGGUAGAUAGGCUAGAAGUGGAAGUGUAGUGAUGCAUGGAGCGGACUAGUACUAAUAGGUCGAGGACUUAACCAAG
rnacentral:rRNA from 1 species